UCUCCGUUGGUGAACCAGCGGAGGGAUCAUUACAGAGUUGCAAAACUCCCAAACCAUUGUGAACGUUACCUAUCCCGUUGCUUCGGCGGGCGGCCCGGGCCCCGCGCCCGGCGCCCCCCGGCCCCCCGUGGGCGCCCGCCGGAGGUAAACCGAACCCUUGAAUUGCAUGGCCUCUCUGAGUCUUCUGUACUGAAUAAGUCAAAACUUUCAACAACGGAUCUCUUGGUUCUG
rnacentral:misc_RNA from 1 species